AUAUCAGGCGGGCCGGUCUUUUUGGGCUUUUUGAGUUUGAGAAUAAACCCGACCCGGAACGAUCCGGCCCAUGAAACCAAGGACCCGAAUCGGGUUCAGGGGCAUAAAAUCGUAGUUUCACUCUUUGAGGAUUUUGACGAAAGCUUCUUCGUCUUCCCGGCUCCGUGUCUGAUCAGAAGAGUGAAACGGGAUUGAAGUGGAUUGCUUGCAGCUGAAACCAGAGAGGAAUGGGAAGCCAAGAGACUGUGAAGCAGCUUGAGGAUUGCUCAGUGGCCAAUGCAAUGGGCACUUGGGUAUUCUCAGUGGCAGGGGCUCUACUAGCAAUUCCGGUGGGGAUAAAAAGGAAAUCUCUGGCUCCGCUUGUGUUCUUCGGCACAACAGGUACUAUGCUCGAUAUUAUUAUGGGGAUCACUCAAUGUGAAAGAGAACAUGCAGAACGCCAAGCGAAGCUAUUAGAAGCGCAAACUAGUGCAACUGAUGCUUCUUUUGCUGAGACUGGGGCAGAGUCAUAGUUUUAACUCGUAAGCAUAUGGCCGGUACACUCGUCUUUCGCUGCUGUCGGUUUUCUCAUCAAGUUGCUUUACUGUUUGUUUCCCUUUUUCAUGAGUUAAUAAUCACGCGAAAGUUGUCAAUGAUAUGACGUCAUGUCUAAUCUCCAUCGCAUGGCGGCGAUUCCAUGAGUUAAUCAUUCGAAGCAGAGAAUUCUAAUUGCUCUGUUUUUAUCUUAUCUUGGGAAAUACCUGAAUGAAAAAUCACUUUAAAGGUGUUUAGCAGCAAA